CUAGGAGUGGCCGGGCAGAGGUGAAGUGCUUCAGGUGCUGCGGUGGUCUUGGGACAGGCUGAUUUGAUACAAGGAGGAAUGGGAACCGGAAAGAAGAGACAUCGCUUCCAGUGUUGACCGGAAUGGGGAAAGAGCACUGCUGUGAACUCUGUUGGGUGGAGCCACUUGGGUGAAAUGGGCAAAUGAAGUCUGCAUUUGAAUAAGUCUUAGGUGGUGUCCUUAUUUAACCUGGAUGCAAAAAAAAGGAGACAAAAAUGCGCAACUCAAGAAGAAACAUGACACACAUCCUUCAUUAUUAACAGCAUGAGCAAACUCAUCUAAAGGGUAUCCCUGGGAUUGAUGGCUGCCUACUUGAAUAAUCUCUUCGAUGAAUACUAUUCACAUCUCAUGGAUCUCACUAGGAAGCUCUAGCAGCCCAGCACAGAGUUCUGCUUUCACUUAACUUGUAAGAGAGUGAAGAGGCCUUGCCAAGGUUCAGAAAAGGAUAACAAAGCAUAAGCUCUUUAAUGGGGUGUAAUAACAUAAAAGUCUAAGUGUACCGAAGCCCUUUCCCACAAGCAAGACCUGAUUCCGGGGCUGGCAUUCAGGCUGACGACGACCAUCACACAUGGGGAAACAGCACUACGGAGAAACAAAAGUAAUUCCACUGAAAUGAGCCAAGUAUGGGCUUUGGGGAAAAUAAGGAUCUGUCUGUUAAGCUUUGCUAAGAUCAGGAUCUCUGUGAUUUAUAGUAUUUUCCAUGGAACUGGGUUUAUUUUUAUGGAAGAAAAUUGUAGGAUCUAGAAAACAUUUAGUUUAGUGAAGCCCUGUUUGAAUUCUUUAAGCAAGCUGAAAUACUCUUUUAUAUGGUGAAAUGUCUCCAUAUAUUUGCUGGCUAAUUAACAUGAUAUCUUAUAAAAUGACAUUUUAUAUACCAUGCAUGGCAGAGCAGAGCGGUCGAAACGCAAUAAUAAUGCUAAAACAGUACUUCUGGCCUGGCCUUCAUUCCUUGUCAGUGUUGUAAGGACUUCCAGGCCUGCUUGUCAGCUCUGAGCUAGCCAGCCUCCUUCCAUCAUUUGGCUUUCAGGGGUCCCUAGCACAGGGGUCUUGUUAGAUCAGCUUUAUGAUUAGAUGCCAGAGUAGCCACUUAGAUCCAGAGGUGGUUGCCUUCCGGCAGUUGAGGGGCCUUCAGAAGGUUUCCUAUUCUAUUUAGAUCUUCGAGUCAGUGGUUGCCCUCAAAUGCCUCUGGGAACCAGGCAGAGAACUUAUUGGAGUGAAGUGAGUCAAGUAGGAUAGUGACGAACUUGAGAGGAAAGUCCAUCUCAGUGGAGAAGUCCUUACCUCCUCCAGUCCUUUGUUGCCAGCUGAGAACGGGAGCCCAGUGUUUUUAGGUGUUCCAAGGGAAGCUGGAAAUAUGGAUUUUGAUGUGUAAUCUCCUGA